GGUAAUUUAAUCUUAUAAUCAAAAUAAAUGGAUCAAAAAAGAUAUAAAUAAAAUAUACAAAAACAAAGAGGAGUUAAAAUAUUUCCUCCCAUCACCCCAACAAAACAAUUUACCUUAAUCAAUUAAAAUAAACAAACAACAUACAAUACAAGAAAUUGUUAAACUCUAUAGGGUCUUCUCGUCCCAUAAAAACAUUUAAGAAUUUUAACUCAAAAACCAAAUUCAAUUAAUUUACAACACCCCUAAGACAGCUUAUGUCUCGUCAAGCCAUUCAUACCAGAUCACAAUUAAAGAACUAAUGAUUAUGCUACCUUUGCACGGUCAAAAUACCGCGGCCCUUCAACAAUAGUCAGCGGGCAGGCCAUACUUCAAAAACUAACAAGAAGAGAUGUUUUUGAUAAACAGGCGGACAUAAAAAUUUGCCUAAUUCCUCAAAAGUGAUUAACUUUAUUUUUAAACAAAACAACAAUAAAAUUUACUAAUUACACAAUAAUUACUAUACAAACUAAAAAUAAAGAAAAAAUUUCAAUAAAUAACUUAAAUAACAUCNAAUAAAAAAAAGAACAAAUAAAAUUUUAACAUAAUCAAAUAGAAAAUCACUAUAAAACCCACAAAACUAAAUUAAAUAACAUAAAUUAUAAAAAUAAAACAAGGAGCUAAUCCCCCUUAAUCUUAAUAUCAAAUAAAAAUAAAUAGAACAACAACAGAAAUUAAAUAAGACAUAUGAAUUAAA
rnacentral:rRNA from 1 species